rnacentral:lncRNA from 1 species
CUCUCUCUCUCUCUCUCUCUUUCAGUUAGCAUGUCGGUUUGAAUCUCCAAGAAGUUUAUUUUUCUUUCUCAAAAUUGCCCUCAAUUAAUCUCUUUCUAACCUCGUUUCUUCUUCUUCUUCUUUUCUCUGCACUCAUGCUGAAAAUAUUCACAUACGAAUUCAUCUCUACCGUCGUUGCCUAAGACCGACGAAGCAGCGCGAGCUGCCGGCUUUGCUCUGCCUUAGCCCGGUGCCCCUUCAUCUUCUAUCUCCCUUUCUCUCUCUGUCUCGCUAACAACACUCACAC